UAUCGAUACUCGCGUCAUCAGGCAGCCGUUCUCGUUUCUGGCAUGGAUUCUGUUUUAGAGGCGUUCAAACAUAAUCCUACAGAUGGUAGCGUCUCGCCACUAGCUGCUCAGCUAAGCGAAAAUACCAAUUAUCUGAAUCAACGGUUC
rnacentral:rRNA from 1 species